UGUCAGCGAUGACACUGCGCGGGUCCUC
rnacentral:sRNA from 1 species